AUGGCCGGCGAGAAGGUGCAGUUUGCCAUCCCGAUGGCCGCCAGCGAGAAGGACCAGGCCAAGGCGGAGAAGGAGGCGGAUUUCAUCGUCAAGGCGGUGUGCGGCUCCAAGAGGAAGGCGGAGGAGGACCGCGAGGAGGCUGUUGGCGUGAUGGUGCCACGGAACAGCGAGGAUGACUCGGAGGCCGAGUUCUACAAGGCGUGCAUGGCGGACGACUCGUUCGACGAUAACUCGGACGAUAGCCUGGAUGUGUGCGCCGCCAAGUGCGAGGCGUCGUUCGAGCGCUUCAUGGAGGCCUGCUACGCUCGCACCCUACCCUCGGUUGGUGGGAAGGGCAAGGUGCCAAAUGCUGAUGCCCAUGGGUCUCUUGUGGUGUGA
rnacentral:rRNA from 1 species